AAUAAAAAAAAUAUCCAAAGAAUUAAACCCCAAAACCCUACAUUUCUUAAACCCUUUGUCAUCUUCUUCUUCUUCCAUUUUUCUCAAAACUCUUAACUAUGGAGUCUUCAAUGGCUAAUUGAGCUUAAUUUUUGAUUUUUUGUUUUAAUUAUGGCGGCUAAGAAGAAGAAGCAAAAUCAAAAUCCAAAGAAGAGUGGUAAAAAGAAGCAGCAACAGCAGCUGUUUUUGAGUGAAGAUGAUUAUCGGCUUAGGCUUCAAGAGGGUUUGUAUUCACCUGAUUAUAUACUGGCUAAAAUUUUCAGAAAAGAUGGUCCUACACUUGGUGAUGAAUUUGAUAUUCUUCCUUCAAAUGCUUUUUCUCAUCUUAAGAAAGGUUCCAGGAUUUCGGGUCAAGCUAGACAAGAAAACCAAGGAGCGACUAAGAGGAGAAAGGUUUCUGUGCCUGCUACCAUGCAUUGCCGAGCUUUAUGUGAAAGUAACCCUCCUGUGAAGAAGCAUGGUACUGGGAAAGGUCUGAUAACAAAAGACGUUUCGGUGAAAAAGCAUAGUGCUGGGAAACGUUUAAUGACUGAGAAGAGGGCUACUCUUAGAAAUCAUGGUAUGGGGAAGGGUUUGAUGACAGUUUGGCGGGCAACAAAUCCUCACUCCGGAGACAUCCCCGUUGGUGUUGAUUUUGGAGAGAGUGCUGAAGAGAGAAAGAAGAAGUUGUUGCAGCGACAGUCUAUUUUGAGAAAAAUAGAAAAGAAAUUGCAGGAUAAGAAGAAGGUUGGCGUGAAAUGCAGAAAGGCAGAGAAUAAAAGGAUUGAAAAGCAGAAGAUGCCUCGUAAGGAAAAAUGUGAACUUGCGCUGGAAUGGAGAAAGUGCCAAGAAGGAUUACCUAUCAAAAAAAGGAAUUACCAACAGGAGUUUACACAGUUGGGGUCGCUAGUGGAUGAUGAGGAACUUGAGUUAAUGGAGUUGGAAGAAGGACCUAACUCAUUGACAUGCUGUACACACUUUGCAAGCAAUGGACUUCGUGGAUGUUCACUUUGCAAAGGUUUACUUCCAAAGUUUCCUCCCAAUUCAGUAAUAAUGAAGCUGCCUCUCUAUGAGCGACCAUGGGAUUCCUCUCCAGAGCUCGCCAAGAAACUGUUCAAGGUCUUCCACUUUCUUUGUACUUAUGCUGCAAGAAUUAAUAUCUGUUCCUUCACAAUUGAUGAGUUUGCACAAGCAUUUCAUGAAAAAGAUUCCUUGAUACUUGGACAAGUUCAUUUAGCCUUUCUCAGGCUUCUUUUGGCAGAUGUUGAAAUUCAGCUUAACAAGGGAUUCAUUCAUCAAGCAAGCAGAAGUUGCAAUUUCUUGGGAUUAGUUCACUCAAUAGAACAUGAAGAAUUUAGUCUGGAACUCUGUAUUAGUUCUCUCAAUGCCUUAACAUGGACAGAGAUACUACGGCAAGUCUUGGUUGCCGCUGGUUUUGGGUCCAAACGUGGUAGAGUACCUGGAGAGGCUCUCUGCAAGGAACGUAGUUUGAUGGCUAAGUAUGGGUUAGCCCUUGGUACACUGAAGGGUGAACUUUUUAGCAUUCUGCUAAUUAAAGGAACUGCUGGAAUGAAAGUUCAUGAGCUGGCAAAACUUCAAUCUAUUCUUGAAUUGAAUCUGGCAGCGACAACCAUUCAGCUAGAAGAUUUAAUAAGCUCAACACUUUCUAGUGACAUUACCUUGUUUGAAAAGAUAUCAUCUUCAGGGUACCGUCUACGUAUUAAUCCUUCUUCACAGGAAUCUGAAAUUUGUUUUUCAGAUUCUGAAGGAGAUGAAGCAGAGGUAAUUAGUGGAUACAUGAGGGAUAAUUCAGAAUGUGAGUCCCGCGAACUAGUUCGAGCUGAAUCUGAACGGAGCUAUCAUCAGUUUGAAAAUAGGAACAAUCUGUCAACGCUAAAUACUGAAAUUGAUGAAAGCUACUCAGGAGAAGCAUGGUUGUUAGGGCUGAUGGAAGGUGAAUAUUCAGAUCUGAGCAUUGAAGAGAAGCUGAAUGCCUUGGUGGCAUUGGUUGAUCUUCUUAUUGCUGCAUCCAGCAUCACUGAAAAGGAUUCGAUGCCAUCAGUUGUAGAAUGUGCUCCUGCAACAAUUCAUCAUGCUUCUGGUGGAAAAAUAAAAAGGUCAUCAGCAAAAUCAUCCUACUUGACUGGGCAUGUACAAAGUCAUAAAGGACAACUUAGUAAUCAAGAUCCAACAGUGUCACUGGAACUUCAGUCAGUUGACUCUUCAGUAUCAAUGUCAAAGCUAUGUGAGAAAAAUAAGUCACCUAGGACUGCAAAGAAUGCCAAAGAACUGAAAGCUGGGGAUGAGUUGCACCCUAUGCAGUCUAUCUUCCUCGGUUCUGACCGUAGGUACAAUAGAUACUGGAUUUUCUUGGGCCCUUGCAAUGAACUUGAUCCUGGGCACAGGAGGAUUUAUUUCGAAUCUUCUGAAGAUGGUCACUGGGAGGUGAUUGAUACUGAAGAGUCUUUAUGCUCUUUGUCGGCUGCCUUGGACCGCAGAGGUAUACGAGAGGCUCUUCUAGUUGCAUCUCUGGAGAAACGGGAAACUUUCCUAUGCCAAGCAAUGUCAAAUGCUCUGAAUGAUUCAGGAGAUAGCCAAUCACCUCGAUGUGGAAGGAACUUUUCUAGGGAAGAUAGUUCAUCGUCUGCAGUUUCUGAUGUGGAUAACUUAAGCCUUGUUGAAGUGCACAAUGGUUCUAUUGGUCAGAAGGUGCCUGUAGGUAGGAAAGGAGAACAUCAGCAAGACAAAUGGAACAUUGCUCAAGCUUUUGACACAUGGAUAUGGAAAUCAUUCUAUUGUAAUCUUGCUGCUGUGAAACUUGGGAAAAGGUCUUAUCUUGAUUCACUUGCAAGGUGUGAACAAUGUCAUGAUCUAUACUGGAGGGAUGAGAAGCACUGCAGGAUUUGCCACACCACGUUUGAGCUUGAUUUUGAUCUUGAAGAAAAAUAUGCCAUUCAUACUGCAACAUGCAGGCAGAAUCUAGAUACUGAUAAGUUAUCAAAGCAUAAAAUUCUCCCAUCGGAAUUGCAGUCACUUAAAGCUGCAAUACAUGCGAUUGAGUCAGUAAUGCCAGAAGGUGCCCUAAUUGGUGCUUGGAGAAGAUCUUCCCACAAUCUUUGGAUCAAAAGACUGCGCAGGGCUUCAACUUUAUCAGAGAUUUUACAGGUUCUUGCUGAUUUUGUCACUGCUAUCAAUGAGGACUGGUUGUGUGAAUCUGGUCAUACUUUGGGAUUGAAUUAUGACCCAGAAGACAUUAUUGCAAGCUUUUCAAGCAUGCCCCGGACUUCAUCUGCAGUUGCAUUCUGGUUGGUCAAGUUGGAUGCCUUGAUUGCACCCCACUUGGAAAGUGUGCCCAUUAGCACCAUACAAGUCUAAAGUGAAUGCAAAGAUGGAGUCAAGCCACUCAAGAAUUAUUUUUCCAUUCUCUUUUUUAUUGGUAGGUUGUUUCAAACAGGUCAAUAUUCUUUAGUUUCCCGGAUCAAGAGUACGUUGUUUGUAUCCAUCGAACUUCUUUGUGCCAAAAUUUAAGAUACUCGGAGAGAAGGUUGUUCCUAUCAUUAUCCCCGACGGAAUCAUGCUACAAGUGCAACAGAAAGCUUUAUGAUUUUUUGGAAAGUAGAGCAGAAAAUACAUCAGUUCAGCAAUCGGUUCAACAACUGAAGCUGAUAUAUGUACAACGUUAUUCUCCGAUAUCCAUUUUUGUUAUCAUCACUAUACCUAGUAUACAUGAGUUCUUCUCGAAUGUACAUAGUAGUUCAGGUUCUCUUCCUCAUCUUCAACCCAAUUUUGGUGUAUUAGAACUCACUCUUGAUUUCUUCACUUGUAUUAGCUCAUUCCUUGUAUGAUAAAACUGUUAUACAGGAUUCUCUUGGUGGCAAUAUAAUAAAAUUCAUUCGAUGCCUUCAGUUACAGAUCUUCCUCGCGUUCAUCUUUGGCGUCCUCAUGAAUCUGAGGCAGGGAACUGGUGUAUUUCUUGAGUUUACAGAAACUAGUAAGUUGAUCUGCUACUAGAGAACAUUCACAGCAGUAGUCACAUAUUUAUCAUCUAUUCCCUCACAAGUGAACUGAAGAUGAAGACGUCUAGUUUGUGCGUGGCAACAAAAAGCUAAAGCCUGAGUUCUCUCGGAGAGGAAGAGGAGAUUCAAUGUCAGCUAUAUCUAUUUGUUCCAUUGAUUUCGAUAUGUCAUCAACUGAAAACGGGAUGCUGAAAAUUGAACCAUUCAGAAACAUCAAAGGAAUUCACCACACAAAAGCAAGGUAUCAACUUUUCAGGAAUUCACCACACAAAAGGCAAGGUAUGAAUUUGUAUCAAUUACAAGGGAUAUCGAUGCAAACCUUGAAUCAUCAUCUAAGAGAAAAGAGUUGCUGACUGCUUGAUUUGAAUCUUCAGUCAUCGACACCCUCAUGCUGGAUAUGACCUAAUGUAAUUUGCAUAAAAACCCUGUCUUUGGUUAAUUUUUACUGUGUAAACAUGUUGCUAAAUUAUAUCUUUUGAAGAA